GCCUUCGUGGUGUAAUGGUAGCACAUUCAACACAUAUUCAAAAGGUCCAGGUUCGAGCCCCGGUGAGGGCA
rnacentral:tRNA from 1 species